rnacentral:lncRNA from 1 species
UCCAGAAUAACAAUGAAAUCGCUAUGUGUUUGUUUGAGUAUAUAUUACAUUAGCCGGCCGCGAUAAUAUAUUUUCGGUAAGCUUUCUCUCUGGCUUUGUCCCAGUUUUUUUUUUUGUGUGUUCUUGGUAACAAAUAAAAUAAAUUAGGUUGUAUAAUUAGCUGGUUGGCUAUUUUUGGCACGGGAAUUUAUGCUGUGUAAUUACUAUGUUACGAAAUUAUUUUAAUUAAAUUGCUAGUUUUAUUACCUGUCAUUCCAGUUUGACACACACUGAAUUUUUGCGCCUUUGUGCUGUGCCUGCAGAUUGCAAUUAAAUUUCAUUUCCAUAAAAUGUUAACAGAAGAAAAACCCAAAAGGAGAAAAAAUCAAAGGAAAAAUUACGGAAAGAUAUGAAAAAUUGAAUUGUGUGCCUAAAAUAAAUUGAAUUUUGAUUGCUAUUUGGCAGGUUUGCUCCUGCUGCUGCACUAACGAAGCGCCAUUGUUGCCACGCCCACAUACACACUCUCAGUCAUAUCGUCACUCUUCCAGGAGGGAUUAUUAAUGACGAUUUGUCAGCCGACUGCACGUAGCUGGCCCCAACAAUAUGCAAUGCAAAUUUUGUGCGAAAAUCUCAUUUGCCCAAUUCAGGCAUGGAAUUACAUAAAAAAAUUAUAGGAGAACCCCCAUCCGCUGCUAUCUAUUUGCGGGUCGAAGGGGGUGUGGUGCUGAGUGGAGUGGAGCGUGUCGAUGUUAAUAAAAUAUUCAUGGCAUCAAUCGAGCUGGGUCCUGACACAUGCCCCAGCGCCUGAGCCAGGAGUCAUGCCACAACAAUGGCUGGCCAGAUUUAUGCUAAUGUAUGAACCGGCAAUGGCCUAGUUGAAUUAGCAAAGUUCUAGCUGAUGGAACCAUCCGGAUAAGUAUAGCAUCAAGUAUUAAAAGUCCAUUUCCAUGUACAUACCCAAAUCCCAAAAAUUGUGUCAUACAUCCAUUACGAGGCUUAACCCAGCCCCUCCAUCACUCCUCGUAGGAGUACAUGUUAAAUGUUUUGCAUUCCGAGUGAAAUGAGUGCGUUUUAAACGCUAACGAAGCAAUUGUAUGCACAAAUGGAACAUUUACACACAACUUUCACUAGUGGAGAGGACAGAGAAAAUGCUCUCACACUCAACAAAAAGUUUCCAAAAGAGAAUGAGAGUGUGGGAUGGAUUCAUUCAAAUUCAAAUGGCCGCUUGACCCGACCACUGCCAUGGCCAAAGCCAUGAACUUUGCCAGUCGAAUCAAAUGCCUUUCACAAUAUGUCAUUGCAUGUGGAUAGGGAUUUUCGUCUUCGUCUCCAUUUCCAUCUAGCCCACCUAGUCCUGGUCUGCUGAGUGGCUCCUGCUGUUGCCUCAGUGAUUAUAGCAAUUCAUUUUGUUGGCUCUUCCCUUCCCCCGAUAUGUUCUGUCCAGUGUCUGUGCAUCUAGCUCUGUGCGAGUGUGUCGAGCUGUUGGUCCAUUCAAUUUUAUGGCUGUAUUGUGGAGCAGCUCAGCUGAGCUAGGUAGGCUUCAAUUAAUUAAUUGACCUGUAAUGAGCCUCCGGUUGUCUGUGAUUGUGACUGACACUGAGUGGUCUACCCCAGAGCAUCGAUAGAAAUUAAUAAAAAUAAGUUAUCAUGGCUUUAAUUACAAAUUCGGGGAGCUUUACUGUGUUGGAAUUGAAUGCGUUUUUCUUUAAAAAUAAUAUACAUAUUUCGAUAGCCAAAAGCCAUUCAAGUGCUUGAGUUUUCUUUUGCAGCUUUUAAAUGCCAUUCAUGGCCAAAUCGGAUCCCCAUUCCCUGCAGCGUUGGCUUCAUUACGUAAAGAGUCUGGCUUGGCUUUAUAAUAUUAUCAUCCUUAUUCCUGUUGCCUUAUGAAGCAUAUCGUAUGACCAUAUAUCAGAACUGCUUCCCUUUUGAGUGUACCAAUUUGGGCUUUAAUGCUGUGGCAUAAAUCAUUUUUUCGCAAUUCGUUUCAAUUGCAUAAAAAUAUUUCAUGCUCCUUCUGCUUCAGCUUUUUCUUCUGUGUGUACAUUUGCCGAGGGCGUGGCUGAGAAUGCGAGAGGAACUGAGUCGGUUGGCUGCUGUCUUGCCCCCCAAAGGAUGAGACUGUGGCAGAGCCUUGAAUGAUGCACGUUAACAUACAAGCAAAUGCAUUUGCC